GCUUCGGGCUCUUCUUGCGCAGCUUAGGUGGAAGGCUGAGAAAGGCAAUUCCGGUUGUCUGGAGCCAUCAGUGAGAUACCACUCUGGGAGAGCUAGGAGUCUAAUGGCGUUCCUUGAAUCAGGACGCUUGACAGUUUCAGGUGGGCAGUUUUACUGGGGCGGUAGCCUCCUAAAAGGUAACGGAGGCGUGCAAAGGUUCCCUCAGGCUGGACGGAAAUCAGCCAUAGAGUGUAAAGGCAGAAGGGAGCUUGACUGCAAGACCUACAAGUCGAGCAGGGACGAAAGUCGGCCUUAGUGAUCCGACGGUGCCGUGUGGAAGGGCCGUCGCUCAACGGAUAAAAGUUACUCUAGGGAUAACA
rnacentral:rRNA from 1 species